rnacentral:rRNA from 1 species
UAGAGUUUGAUCCUGGCUCAGGAUGAACGCUGGCGGCGUGCCUAAUACAUGCAAGUCGAACGGAGACAUUAGCAAUAAUGUUCUUAGUGGCGAACGGGUGAGUAACGCGUUGGUGACCUGCCCCGAAGAGGGGGAUAACAGUCCGAAAGGAUUGCUAAUACCCCAUGUGGUCAUAUUGAUUAGAUGCAUAAUGACUAAACGGAUUUAUUCGCUUCGGGAGGGGCCUGCGUCCCAUCAGCUAGUUGGUAGGGUAAUAGCCUACCAAGGCUAUGACGGGUAGGGGACCUGAGAGGGUGGCCCCCCACAAUGGAACUGAAACACGGUCCAUACACCUACGGGUGGCAGCAGUAGGGAAUAUUAGAAAUGGACGAAAGUCUGAUCUAGCAACACCGCGUGUGCGAAGAAGGCCUUCGGGUCGUAAAGCACUUUUUGGAAGGAAUAGGAAGGAAUGUACUUCCAGAAUAAGUCUCGGCUAACUACGUGCCAGCAGCCGCGGUAACACGUAGGAGGCGAACGUUAUCCGGAUUUACUGGGCGUAAAGCGCGUGUAGGUGGUUCUGUAAGUAGGGCGUGAAAGCUCCUGGCUCAACUGGGAGAGGCCGUUCUAAACUGCAGAGCUAGAGGAUGGUAGAGGGAGGUGGAAUUCCAGGUGUAGCGGUGGAAUGCGCAGAUAUCUGGAGGAACACCAGUGGCGAAGGCGGCCUCCUGGACCAUUCCUGACACUCAGACGCGAAAGCUAGGGUAGCAAACGGGAUUAGAGACCCCGGUAGUCCUAGCCCUAAACGAUGUAGACUAGGCGUCGGUGGUUUAAUCACCAUCGGUGUCCAAGCUAACGCGAUAAGUCUACCGCCUGGGGACUACGGCCGCAAGGUUAAAACUCAAAGGAAUUGACGGGUCCCCGCACAAGCAGCGGAGCGUGUGGUUUAAUUCGUUGCUACACGAAGAACCUUACCUGGGUUUGACAUAGCAGUGGUAGGGAAGCGAAAGCGGACCGACCCUUCGGGGAGCUGUUACAGGUGUUGCAUGGCUGUCGUCAGCUCGUGUCGUGAGAUGUUCGGUUAAGUCCGCUAACGAGCGCAACCCGCGUUGUGUGUUACAAGUGUCACACAAUACCGCCGGUAUUAAGUCGGAGGAAGGUGCGGAUGACGUCAAGUCAGCAUGACCUUUAUAUCCAGGGCUACACACACGCUACAAUGGUCGGCACAAUAGGUUGCCAAGUCGUGAGACGGAGCCAAUCCUCCAAAGCCGGCCUCAGUUCAGAUUGCAGGCUGCAACUCGCCUGCAUGAAGUUGGAGUUGCUAGUAAACGCAGGUCAGCUAUACUGCGUUGAAUACGUUCCCGGGGAUUGUACACACCGCCCGUCAAGUCAUGGAAGCUGGCAACACCUGAAGCCGGUAUCCUAACCCGUAAGGGAGGGAGCUGUCAAAGGUGGGGUUGGUGACUGGGACUAAGUCGUAACAAGGUAG